rnacentral:tRNA from 4 species
CGGAGUGUGGCGCAGUUGGUAGCGCGCGUCGUUCGGGACGGCGAGGUCGACGGUUCGAAUCCGUCCACUCCGA